AUUGAACGCUGGCGGCAGGCCUAACACAUGCAAGUCGAGCGGAGCGGCGGACGGGUGAGUAAUGCCUAGGAAUCUGCCUGGUAGUGGGGGAUAACGUCCGGAAACGGGCGCUAAUACCGCAUACUCUCAGAUGAGCCUAGGUCGGAUUAGCUAGUUGGUGGGGUAAAGCCCUACCAAGUCGACGAUCCGUAACUGGUCUGAGAGGAUGAUCAGUCACACUGGAACUGAGAAACGGGCCAGACUCCUACGGUGGGAAGAAGUGGGGAAUAUUGGACAAUGGGAGAAAGCCUGAUCCAGCCAGGCCGCGUGGGGGAAGAAGGUCUUCGGAUUGUAAAGCACUUUAAGUAGGGAGGCGUUACCAACAGAAUAAGCACCGGCUAACUUCGUGCCAGCAGCCGCGGUAAUUC
rnacentral:rRNA from 1 species